GCCGUUGUUGACAUUUUUGGUGGUUAUGAUAGUCUCUGUACCUUUUUCGUGUUUUGUGUUGUGUUUGUGGUCAAAAAUGUAAGGAAAAGAAUGUGCCUAUAUACGGGACGUUCACUGACAAACGAAAUUACAAGUGCAGCAACUAUGAGGACCUAAUAGGAUCUUAGACAACCCCGAGUGAUUUAACAAACUACAGGGUUAAAUAGCUACACAGGAAAAUGUUUGGUUAAUAUGUUUUAGUGUACAAGAAUUACAGGAAAUAUAAGAAUACAAUUAAGCCGCAAGUUUUAUAAGAACUCCUGGAUAAUUACAAAUCCUUGUAAAACUCACUGUGGGAAAGUUUUCAUUUGUCAUCACGCGUAGUGAAAAUAAAAUUGCCUUUUGGUUGGUCAAAAAUUACAGAAAUUAUUACCUCAGAAAGUGGGGAAUUACCAGAAUCAGUUCAGUUGCAAUUGCAGCAGGAGGAAUUUAAAUGAUCAAUCUGCAUGAUAUUUUUGCAAAGUCUGAAGGGAUUACAGGAAAUUUUUGAGAAUUAACAGGAAUUCUGGGCAAUUAUUCAAAAUUAUGGGGUACUUUAUUUGUAGGGCACCUACCUCCUUAGGGAGGUAGGUGGAUCCUGCGGUACAUACACACAUAAUUUGACACUGAUUAAAUUGAAAUAGUUCUAUCAAUAAAUACUGAUUUUAUAAAUCUGCUUGUUGGAUUCGGGACAACUUGAGUUAUCAAAAUAUUAUAUGCACAACUUGGAAAGAAGAGAUAAUGUUUUUGGACAAGCUAUUAGAUUGAUCCAUGUUCUCUAUCCCAUUUUUUUUGUAGACUUACACAUAUGUCUGUUUCCUAGUUUUGAUUUUACCAAAACAUGAAAUUGUAAGGAAACAAUGGAUAACAUUCCUUGUCAAAAAUGGAGUUGCCAGGAAGGCUGAUAGCUUUAGAAGAGCAUCCAUAUCACUCGCUUUAAGUAAUAGGAGAGGUGGUAAACACUUGAUAAAGUAGGCAGUGCAGUGUCUUUUAAGUGGAUAUUGUGGUCAAUUGUAAAUCGGGUUACUUGUUUUCUGGUCAUUCUGUUUGGCGAUGGUACUUAACGGCCAGCCUAUACUUAUAGUGCCAAAUGGUCCCUUUUUUUUCUAACCCGACUGAUAAAAUUUAUUAGUAUGUUAGCAACUUUUUUUUCUAUCUAAAAUAUUUAUAUUUUUCCUGCAUAAUUUAUGACUGAAAAUUUUCCAUCUUGAACAUAUGAGAAAUUUUUGUUGAUAGGGGGAUGUUUUUCGGCUUUAUUUCCAACAAGUCAAAAUAAUUUCUUUCCUAGAGCAGACACCAGCAGAUCUUUAAUCUUCAGUGGUAGUGAAAACAACAUUACAAGUUAUAGAGAAGCCUGGAACAGAAUAACCAGCAGUCACCAGUUUUUAAAAAGAACUUAAGGCACACUAACAUAUUGUCAACAAGUAAAGUGAUUUAAAUUUUGUUUCGAAUUAUUAUAAAUGAACAUUUUUUUUAUUGCUUACAUCUUCUUUUUUGCAAUUUUUAAAUUGUGGUGAUCCUCUCAAAUCAAGUAAUGUAAAAAUUCCAUGAAAAGAGAAACACUGAAACAUGUUAUAUCGGA